CAGCCUGGACUGCAAUGAAACAACCAGCUACCCCAGGAUAUGGAAGCACCCCAACUUUCUCAGGCCCCCAAAAGAUGGUCAACGCCCCCCAGGGCUGAAGCGGCGUCAGGACCUGAUGGGACAAGAAAGAGAACCUCCAGCAACAAUGCCCGACAAGCACUCUCCUACUGAGCUACUUUUCAUACCCCAUGCCUUCAUCUCAAAAAUAUUUGUCUAAAUAUUUUGCCAGCUUUUAACAGGCUGUUUUCUCUGCUGAAUAACAGUUGAUGUAUGUGAGAUAUUGUCUGCUCUGGCUCCUUUUCACUCUGUAUUUGUC
rnacentral:lncRNA from 1 species